UACACUCCUACGGGAGGCAGCAGUGGGGAAUUUUGGACAAUGGGCGAAAGCCUGAUCCAGCAAUGCCGCGUGAGUGAAGAAGGCCUUCGGGUUGUAAAGCUCUUUUGUCAGGGAAGAAACGGUGAGAGCUAAUAUCUCUUGCUAAUGACGGUACCUGAAGAAUAAGCACCGGCUAACUACGUGCCAGCAGCCGCGGUAAUACGUAGGGUGCAAGCGUUAAUCGGAAUUACUGGGCGUAAAGCGUGCGCAGGCGGUUUUGUAAGUCUGAUGUGAAAUCCCCGGGCUCAACCUGGGAAUUGCAUUGGAGACUGCAAGGCUAGAAUCUGGCAGAGGGGGGUAGAAUUCCACGUGUAGCAGUGAAAUGCGUAGAUAUGUGGAGGAACACCGAUGGCGAAGGCAGCCCCCUGGGUCAAGAUUGACGCUCAUGCACGAAAGCGUGGGGAGCAAACAGGAUUAGAAACCCUGGUAGUCCCAUGAU
rnacentral:rRNA from 1 species